AUUGAACGCUGGCGGCAGGCCUAACACAUGCAAGUCGAGCGGAUGAAGGGAGCUUGCUCCUGGAUUCAGCGGCGGACGGGUGAGUAAUGCCUAGGAAUCUGCCUGGUAGUGGGGGAUAACGUCCGGAAACGGGCGCUAAUACCGCAUACGUCCUGAGGGAGAAAGUGGGGGAUCUUCGGACCUCACGCUAUCAGAUGAGCCUAGGUCGGAUUAGCUAGUUGGUGGGGUAAAGGCCUACCAAGGCGACGAUCCGUAACUGGUCUGAGAGGAGGAUCAGUCACACUGGAACUGAGACACGGUCCAGACUCCUACGGGAGGCAGCAGUGGGGAAUAUUGGACAGAGGGCGAAAGCCUGAUCCAGCCAUGCCGCGUGUGUGAAGAAGGUCUUCGGAUUUUAAAGCACUUGAAGUUGGGAGGAAGGGCAGUAAGUUAAUACCUUGCUGUUUUGACGUUACCAACAGAAUAAGCACCGGCUAACUUCGUG
rnacentral:rRNA from 1 species